rnacentral:lncRNA from 12 species
UCAAAAUGAGAAUCGUUACGAUAGGGGCCAGUGGCACAAGGUGGGGAAGAAACAAACUCCCCAGGGGAAAAGAAGCUGAGCUUGGAAUUCUAUGGAAGCACGGAUUGUUCAGCCUCCCACCCGGUCUCUUCAGGACGUGUCCGUAGAGAGCAUGCUACCAAACCAUGGGCGCCUUGGAAGGUCUAAUGCUCUGGCACUGAGGUCUGUUCUCCUGGCCUCAGCUCAAGUCAAUGCCAGGCGGAAUGAACAACGGAAGGGGAGAAAAUGGUCGCGUGUCAUCAACGGAAUCAACCGUAUUUACUACAAAGCGACUCUAGACACAACACGGAAGCUCAAGAUUCUUCCAAAGUUAGACGACGGACUUGAAUUCUUAAAGUGGAAUCAUAUUGCAAUGAUGGUUUUGUAACUUGAUGUUUUCCACUCAGUAAUAUAUCGUGACUAUCUCUCCGUGGCAAUCAACACACCUUGACAGCACCAUGUCCUAAUUAACUUUUCACUGAAAUAUCCUAAACCUUCAGAAAAGUGCACAUUUCAGAAGCACAGAGCUGGGUGCAUUUUCACCAACUGGCCAGACCCUGUAACAAGCUACUGCACCAAGAGGAAGAACGUGGCUGACACCCAGAGCCCCGCACCCGGCUCGUUCCAGGGAUCUCCCUUUCCCGAGAGUACCCGCCACCUUGUACCUGGACCCCCCAGCAGCCCGGGUUCAUUCCCAGCCCCAUGCUGCAUGGCCUCAUGGGCGAUCCGGGGAAACCUGUGUCCUCUCGAAGGCCAGCUUGAGAUCUAACCCCCGAGACCUGCAGAUGUGACCUUACGCAGAAGCAAGGCUCCUGCGGAGGUGAUGGAGCUCGGCUGAAGUCCCUGGGGUGGGUCCCAGCACGGGGGGAGGGGGUGCAUGGAGACAGAGACCCCGGGGAGCAAGCCACAUGAGGAGGACGCAGAGCCGGAGCCCUGCAGCCCAAGCACGGGCACCAGGUGUCAUGGGGAGAGGCAGGGAAGGGUUCGGGCCACACCUUGGUUGCAGACCUCAGCCUCCACAACAGUGCAUGGACCGCAGUGCCGUGGUCCUAAGGCGCCUGGAUGGAGGGGCUCGGCCCCGGCAGCUGCAGGAAGCCCAUAGGGACUCGGCUCGGCCUUGAUGGAGCUACAAUCUUUCUAACAUUUUAUUAUUCUCAUGCUGUUCUGAAUAUGCCUUUCACCUUUUUUCGUCAGAAGAAACUGCAAAAGUGAAGUCCGUGUCGCAGAAUCUUAGUGGGAACUAUCAGUCCGACAGUGGCCAUGACCCAUCAAAUCACCACUUUUAAGAGUUGGACUUGGAGAAGCAGUCGAUGGGCACUGCUUCCCUUGCAUGUGUUCUCCUGUAACUCCAGUUUCACCAGGAUCCCCUAACUCCUGGGUACAAUGGACCCACGUAAGGAUACACCUGACUCCUGCCACCGUCUGCAUAAAGCAGAAAAUCCCAGACCCUUGUUUCUGGAAGCCUCUGGGGUGGGGGGAGGGCAUCGUUCAAGUUCCCAUAUCCUGGGAACCCUGGGUGGCGCAGCGGGUUUAGCGCCUGCCUUUGGCCCAGGGCGCGAUCCUGGAGACCCGGGAUCGAAUCCCACGUCGGGCUCCCGGUGCAUGGAGCCUGCUUCUUCCUCUGCCUAUGUCUCUGCCUCUCUCUCUCUCUCUGUGACUAUCAUAAAUAAUAAAUAAAUAAAAAAAUAAAGUUUAAAAAAAAAG